GGGCCCGCACAAGCGGUGGAGCAUGUGGUUUAAUUCGAUGCAACGCGAAGAACCUUACCAAGACUUGACAUCGCCCUGAAUACAGAAGAGAUACUGUAGCUCUACGGAGCAGGGUAGACAGGUGGUGCAUGGUUGUCGUCAGCUCGUGCCGUGAGGUGUUGGGUUAAGUCCCGCAACGAGCGCAACCCUUAUCUUUAGUAGCCAGUAGGUAAAGCUAGGCACUCUAGAGAGACUGCCGUGGAUAACACGGAGGAAGGUGGGGAUGACGUCAAAUCAUCAUGCCCUUUAUGUCUUGGGCUACACACGUGCUACAAUGGCUGUUACAAAGUGAAGCGAGACGGCGACGUUAAGCAAAGCACAAAAAAGCAGCCCCAGUUCGGAUUGUAGUCUGCAACUCGACUAUAUGAAGCUGGAAUCGCUAGUAAUCGCGAAUCAGCAUGUCG
rnacentral:rRNA from 1 species